UCACAUGGAAUAAUAAAGAUGUGUUUUUAGA
rnacentral:piRNA from 1 species